UACAGACGGUCCAAGCGUUGUUCGGAUUCACUGGGCGUAAAGGGUGCGUAGGUGGUCGGGUAAGUCUGAUGUGAAAUCUCGGAGCUCAACUCCGAAACGGCAUUGGAUACUAUUCGGCUUGAGGGUUGGAGGGGGGACUGGAAUUCUCGGUGUAGCAGUGAAAUGCGUAGAUAUCAAGAGGAACACCUGCGGCGAAGGCGGGUUGCUGGGCUGACACUGACGCUGAGGCGCGAAAGCUAGGGGAGCGAACGGG
rnacentral:rRNA from 1 species